ACGACUGCAUCGGCGUGGCCCCCGGCGGCCUCGUGAUCUCG
rnacentral:SRP_RNA from 1 species